UACAGAGGAGCCAAGCGUUGUCCGGAUUGACUGGGCGUAAAGCGCACGCAGGCGGCAUCGCGCGUGGGGUGUGAAAUCUGGCCGCUUAACGGCCAGGCGCCAUCCCAUACGGCGAGGCUGGAGCGAUGCAGAGGUCGGUGGAAUUGCCGGUGUAGUGGUGAAAUGCGUAGAGAUGUGGAGGAACACCAGUGGCGAAGGCGACUCUUUGGCCUGUAACUGACACUGAGGCGCGAAAGCGUGGGGAGCAAACAGG
rnacentral:rRNA from 1 species